AUUGAACGCUGGCGGCAUGCCUUACACAUGCAAGUCGAACGGCAGCACGGGUGCUUGCACCUGGUGGCGAGUGGCGAACGGGUGAGUAAUACAUCGGAACGUACCUUAUCGUGGGGGAUAACGCAGCGAAAGCUGUGCUAAUACAGCAUACGCCCUGAGGGGGAAGGCGGGGGAUCGCAAGACCUCGCGCGAUUAGAGCGGCCGAUGCCUGAUUAGCUAGUUGGUGGGGUAAAAGCCCACCAAGGCGAGGAUCAGUAGCUGGUCUGAGAGGACGAUCAGCCACAGUGGGAGUGAGACACGGCCCAGACUCCUAGGGGAGGCAGCAGGGGGGAAUUUUGGACAAUGGGGGAAACCCUGAUCAAGCAAUGCCGGGGGAGGGAAGAAGGCCUUCGGGUUGUAAAGCUCUUUUGUCAGGGAAGAAACACCGGCUCUAACACAGUCCGGGAAUGACGGUACCGGGAGAAUAAGCACCGGCUAACUACGUGCCAGCCGCCGCGGUAA
rnacentral:rRNA from 1 species